GCCUUCGUGGUGUAGUGGUCAGCAUGCUCGGUGCAUAUUCAAGAUAUCCGUGGUUCAAAUCCCGGCGAGGGCA
rnacentral:tRNA from 1 species